rnacentral:rRNA from 1 species
UACGUAGGGUCCGAGCGUUGUCCGGAUUUAUUGGGCGUAAAGAGCUCGUAGGCGGCUCAGUAAGUCGGAUGUGAAAACUCGGGGCUCAACCCCGAGACGCCAUCCGAUACUGCUGUGGCUUGAAUCUGGUAGGGGAGCACGGAAUUCCUGGUGUAGCGGUGAAAUGCGCAGAUAUCAGGAGGAACACCGGCGGCGAAGGCGGUGCUCUGGGCCAGUAUUGACGCUGAGGAGCGAAAGCGUGGGGAGCGAACAGG